rnacentral:rRNA from 1 species
AUUGAACGCUGGCGGCAGGCCUAACACAUGCAAGUCGAGCGAGGUUUUCGGACCUAGCGGCGGACGGGUGAGUAAUGCGUAGGAAGCUGCCCGAUAGAGGGGGAUACCAGUUGGAAACGACUGUUAAUACCGCAUAAUGUCUACGGACCAAAGUGUGGGACCUUCGGGCCACAUGCUAUCGGAUGCGCCUACGUGGGAUUAGCUAGUUGGUGAGGUAAUGGCUCACCAAGGCGACGAUCUCUAGCUGGUUUGAGAGGAUGAUCAGCCACACUGGAACUGAGACACGGUCCAGACUCCUACGGGAGGCAGCAGUGGGGAAUAUUGGACAAUGGACGCAAGCCUGAUCCAGCCAUGCCGCGUGUGUGAAGAAGGCCUUCGGGUUGAAAAGCACUUUCAGCGAGGAGGAAGGGUGGUGUGUUAAUAGCACAUCAUUUUGACGUUACUCGCAGAAGAAGCACCGGCUAACUCUGUGCCAGCCGCCGCUGUAAGAC